AACAUCGCGCACCUGCGGGAACCUGCGGAGGGAUCAUUAACAAUUGUCCAACUUAUGGAUAAUUUCAUCCAUAUCCACCUUGUGUGAAUCAUUGAUGUGUCUGUUGGCAGGUUAGGCUCUCUUCACUUGCAGAGUUGCCGUGAGUUUAGGCUCGGCCUGCCAAUUUUAUUUGUGUAAACUUGUCUAUAAUAUAUUCGACUGAAAUAUAUAUUUUUAUAAUAAAAAACAACUUUUAACAAU
rnacentral:misc_RNA from 1 species